rnacentral:rRNA from 1 species
AUUGAACGCUGGCGGCAGGCCUAACACAUGCAAGUCGAGCGAGCGGCGGACGGGUGAGUAAUGUAUGGGGACUGCCCGACAGAGGGGGAUAACUACUGGAAACGGUGGCUAAUACCGCAUACUGUCGGAUAACCCAUAGGGGAUUAGCUAGUAGGUAAGGUAAUGGCUUACCUAGGCGACGAUCCCUAGCUGGUCUGAGAGGAUGAUCAGCCCCACUGGGCUUGAUACACGGCCCCUCCCCCAUCGGAGGCGGCAGUGGGGAGGAUUGCACAAGGAGCGCAAGCCUAAUUCAGCCAUGCCGCGUGUAUGAAGAAUGCCCUAGGGUUGUAAAGUACUUUCAGUCGGGGGGCGUUACCGACAGAAGAAGCAACGGCUAAAUCCGUGCCAGCAGCCGCGGUAAUAC